GGACACUGGCUGCCCGGUCCCGGAUCCCCAAGGGCGACGUUUCUAUUUGGGAUCCACAACAGGUGCCUGAGAAACAAAGCCGCAGAUCGCUCCACCGCUGUGCGCAGCCCCCUGCUGAGGGGCCAGCGGCUCUCCCUGGGACCCCAGAACCUUAACACAAUUCUGAGGUGGAAGAAAUGGGGAACACCAGGCCUGGCCUCAUGGAGACCGGGGAGUCAGAACCUGAGCUCUGGCUCCUGGAGCUGCUGCGAGUGAGUGGUGGAAACCUGCCCCCUUAGAGAAGCUGCAGCUGAUCAGCAUCAUGCAAGGGACUGCUGAGAUGGUAGCAUGCUGGUAAUGAAGUGUUAUGGAGCCACUCCAUCCUUUAUUCAUCCUUUUCCUCAUACACACAGAGAGCAAAGGUGUAUAAACCAUCUUGUUCAUUGUCCCCUUUCACACAGGAGUUGUUUUGGGGAACAUAAUAGUCACGCCAUUUACACAUAUUUCUUAUAACAUUUUAUGAGCCAUGAUAUUCUACUUAAAAGCACAAAAAUAACAAUAUCCCUAUUUCUUCUGACUUCCAAUUGUCUGUAAGUAAUAAUUGUUCCCACUGCAUUUAUGAAGUAAAUUCACUCAUUCUUUCACAGUGCCCAUCACAGGGCAGUUAGAAUCCUGUGCUACAGCUGUGCAGCCCACACCCCUCUCCUCCUUAGUCAUCAUGUACACUUAGGAUCUGUGUGAAUUCCAAUCCCCUGACCUUCCUCCCCUUCACAGCUGCCCUCCUGACCCUGAAAUAUUGCUUGGGUGUUUUUUCUCCUCCCUUUCUCAACCGGGGAUUUCCAAGCCAGCCUAAUAGCUUCCUCCAACAAUAAUAAAGCAAAGAAGAAUUUUUAAAAA
rnacentral:lncRNA from 1 species